AUGAAUGACCAACUCUUUGGUGUAAAUAUGGAUGGAUGUAACUGUUGGACCGUAAGAUACCACACCUACACUGACUAUAUAAAAGGAUCUUCUCAGAACUGGCAUAAGUGCAGCUUGCUGCACAGGAUCUUGUAUUGGAAGUUACAACUAGUUUUUACAAAUGUUAUCCAAGCAUUAGGUGAACAUCUUAAAUUAAGACAACAAGUUAUUGCUACUGCUACCAUUUAUUUCAAGAGAUUCUAUGCCAGGUAUUCUCUGAAAAGUAUAGAUCCUGUAUUAAUGGCUCCUACAUGUGUUUUUUUGUCAUCCAAAGUAGAGGAAUUUGGAGUGGUUUCUAAUACGAGGUUGAUUGCUGCUGCUACUUCUGUAUUGAAAACUAGAUUUUCAUAUGCCUUCCCAAAGGAAUUCCCCUAUAAGAUGAAUCAUAUAUUAGAAUGUGAAUUCUAUCUACUAGAACUAAUGGAUUGUUGCUUGAUAUUGUAUCAUCCUUACAGACCUUUGCUCCAGUAUGUGCAGGACAUGGACCAAGAAGACACGUUGCUUCCCCUUGCAUGGAGAAUAGUGAAUGAUACCUACAGAACCGAUCUUUGCCUACUGUAUCUUCCUUUCAUGAUAGCUCUAGCUUGCCUACGUGUGGCCUGUGUUGAACAGCAGAAAGAUGCCAGACAGUGGUUUGCUGAACUUUCUGUGGACAUGGAGAAGAUUUUGGAAAUAAUCAGGGUUAUUUUAAAACUGUAUGAGCAGUGGAAGAAUUUCGAUGACAAAAAAGAAAUGGCUACUAUUCUUAGUAAGAUGCCGAAACCAAAACCACCUCCAAACAGAAAUCCCCAGAGUGAUCUCCACUAG